GACGAACGCUGGCGGCGUGCCUAAUACAUGCAAGUCGAACGCAGUGGGGACGGGUGAGUAACACGUGGGUAACCUCCCAUCAGAGGGGAUAACACUUGGAAACAGGUGCUAAACCGAUCCUGAUGCAUGGACCCGCGGUGCAUUAGCUAGUUGGUGCGGUAACGGCACACCAAGGCCACGAUGCAUAGCCGACCUGAGAGGGUGAUCAGCCACACUGGGACUUAGACACGGCCCAGACUCAUACGUGAGGCAGCGGGAGGGAAGCUUCGGCAAUGGACGAAAGUCUGACAGAGCGACGCCGCGUGAGUGAAGAAAGUUUUCGGAUCGUAAAACUCUGUUGUUAAAGAAGCGGUAUCUAACCAGAAAGCCACGGCUAACUACGUGCCAGCAGCCGCGGUAAUUC
rnacentral:rRNA from 1 species